rnacentral:rRNA from 1 species
AGAUGUGUAGGUGCUGCAUGGUUGUCGUCAGCUCGUGCCGUGAGGUGUCGGCUUAAGUGCCAUAACGAGCGCAACCCUCAUCAUUAGUUACCAUCAGGUAAGGCUGGGGACUCUAAUGAGACUGCCAUCGUAAGAUGUGAGGAAGGUGGGGAUGACGUCAAAUCAGCACGGCCCUUACUCCGGGGCGACACACGUGUUACAAUGGGUGGUACAAAGGGCAGCUACCUGGCGACAGGAUGCUAAUCUCCAAAACCACUCUCAGUUCGGAUCGGAGUCUGCAACUCGACUCCGUGAAGCUGGAUUCGCUAGUAAUCGCGCAUCAGCCACGGCGCGGUGAAUACGUUCCCGGGCCUU